GUACGGGCCACUGCCUUGGCCUACUCCUCCAGCUGCAGUGAUCACUGGCCGCCUUCCCAGUCGCUCCCAAGUCGUCGCGACAGCGGCAAACCGAUUCAUUGCCAUCCAUCGCCCUGCUUGCUCUCGCCCCGGCCGCUUCUAUAUAGCCCCGUCCUGCCGAUCACAUUCCAUAUUGCACCACCUCUCCUGUCCUCACCUCACCUCUCGCUGCGCUCCGGCGAUCGAGCUUGGCUAGCUUGGCGAUGGAGGCAGGGACGUGGGCGGUGGUGGUGGCGGCGGCGGCCGCGUACCUGGCGUGGUUCUGGCGGAUGUCGCGCGGGCUCAGCGGCCCCAGGGUGUGGCCGCUGGUGGGUAGCCUGCCGGGGCUGCUGCAGCACGCGGAGGACAUGCACGAGUGGAUCGUCGGCAACCUGCGCCGCACCGGCGGCACCUACCAGACCUGCAUCUUCGCGGUGCCCGGCGUGGCCCGCCGCGGCGGGCUGGUCACGGUCACCUGCGACCCCAGGAACCUGGAGCACGUCCUCAAGGCGCGCUUCGACAACUACCCCAAGGGCCCCUUCUGGCACGGCGUCUUCAGCGACCUGCUCGGCGACGGCAUCUUCAACUCCGACGGCGACACCUGGGUCGCGCAGCGCAAGACGGCCGCGCUCGAGUUCACCACGCGCACGCUCCGCACCGCCAUGUCCCGCUGGGUCUCCCGCUCCAUCCACCACCGCAUGCUCCCCAUCCUGUCCGACGCGGCGGCCUCCGGCGCGCACGUCGACCUGCAGGACCUCCUCCUCCGCCUCACCUUCGACAACAUCUGCGGCCUCGCCUUCGGCAAGGACCCGGAGACGCUCGCCCGCGGCCUCCCCGAGAACGCCUUCGCCACCUCCUUCGACAGCGCCACCGAGGCCACGCUCAACCGCUUCAUCUUCCCGGAGUGCGUGUGGCGGUGCAAGAAGUGGCUGGGGCUCGGCAUGGAGACCACGCUGGCGCGCAGCGUCGCGCACGUCGACCGCUACCUCUCCGCCGUCAUCAAGACGCGCAAGCUCGAGCUCGCCGGCAAGAGCGACGGGUCCACGCCGCACGACGACCUCCUGUCGCGCUUCAUGCGCAAGGGGACCUACUCCGACGACUCCCUGCAGCACGUGGCGCUCAACUUCAUCCUCGCCGGCCGCGACACCUCCUCGGUGGCGCUCUCCUGGUUCUUCUGGCUGGUCUCCACCCACCCGGACGUGGAGCGCAAGAUCGUGCGCGAGCUCUGCGCCGUCCUGGCGGCGUCCCGCGGCGCAGACGACCCGGCAUUAUGGCUGGCCGCCCCGUUCGACUACGAGGAGCUGGACCGCCUCGUGUACCUCAAGGCGGCGCUCUCGGAGACCCUCCGGCUGUACCCGUCCGUGCCGGAGGACUCCAAGCACGUGGUCGCCGACGACUACCUCCCCGACGGCACGUUCGUGCCGGCCGGGUCGUCGGUGACGUACUCCAUCUACUCGGCGGGGCGCAUGAAGACGGUGUGGGGGGAGGACUGCCUGGAGUUCCGGCCGGAGCGGUGGCUGUCGGCCGACGGCACCAAGUUCGAGCCGCACGACUCGUACAGGUUCGUGGCGUUCAACGCCGGGCCGCGCAUAUGCCUGGGCAAGGACCUGGCGUACCUGCAGAUGAAGAACAUCGCCGGGAGCAUCCUCCUCCGGCACCGCCUGGCCGUGGCGCCGGGGCACCGCGUGGAGCAGAAGAUGUCGCUCACGCUGUUCAUGAAGCACGGGCUCCGGAUGGUGGUGCGCCCGCGCGACCUCGCCCCGACCCUCGACGAGCUCCCCGCCGCGGCACCCGCCGUCGCGGCCUGCGCGUAGAAGAUCGAUGUGUAUGGACCCCCGGCGCCGUGCAUGCAUGCUCCACGUACGGUUCGUGCCAUAUGGGGAAGGUCCGGAGGACGAAGUUGGAAGUGGCAAGAAAACUGUGUAGAUACACGAGUCCAACACACCAACAGGUACUACUUAGUAGGUGAGUAUAUCUACAUCGGGAUAAAGGGAUCUGUCUAAAAAUAUCCAAAUCAGAAAGAAAGGGAAACACACAGGGGCAACAAACAAUAAUGCUCCUCUCCUGUACUGUAAUGUACUGUACUGAACUACGUGUGACAGAUUAGAAGUGUAUAAGCUCCAAAUUCGUCUGGGCGGUUUGUGUUAAUGCGCCGCCGAUUGUUGUUGUUGUUGGCAGGGAGGUUGCGUGUGCAAAUGCGAGGUGAAACAUACAACUCGAUCGAGUGAUUAUUUUCUGGAUGGACCCGUUGGUCCGGGCUUAUUAAUUCUUCCCCGUUCUAUUUCUGGCGUCUUGAUUGCCGGUAGCUCGCUGCUCAUGGCGUUAUUGCACGAGGUGGAGAUGAGAUCAGUGUACAUCGCUGUUGUCCAUCUUAAGGUUGUUUGAGGCUCGUGCACGGGACCGAGAGAGCGAUUUGAUAGUGGGAGUUUCUUUGUUGAGGGAGUUCGAUACAUCAAACUCUGAUCCAGGACAGUGCAUCAAAGAGGCAAUACAAACUGAUAAAGAAUUUCGACGUGCCUUUUCAUUCUCAUUUGAUUAUUUGAUCAUUUUCCGGUCGCAAAUUUAUGUUCG
rnacentral:lncRNA from 1 species